GACGAACGCUGGCGGCGUGCUUAACACAUGCAAGUCGAACGGAAAGGCCCUGCGUUUGUGGGGUGCUCGAUUGGCGAACGGGUGAGUAACACGUGAGUAACCUGCCCUUGACUUUGGGAUAACUUCAGGAAACUGGGGCGAAUACCGGAUAGGAGCUCCUGCUGCAUGGGGGGGGUUGGAAAGUUUCGGCGUUUGGGGAUGGACUCGCGGCUUAUCAGCUUGUUGGUGGGGUAGUGGCUUACCAAGGCUUUGACGGGUAGCCGGCCUGAGAGGGUGACCGGCCACACUGGGACUGAGGUACGGCCCAGACUGGUACGGGAGGGAGCAGUGGGGAAUCUUGCCCAAUGGGCGGCAGGCUGAUGAAGCAACGCCGCGUGCGGGAUGACGGCCUUAGGGUUGUAAACCGCUUUCGCCUGUGACGAAGCGUGAGUGACGGUAAUGGGUAAAGAAGCCCCGGCUAACUACGUG
rnacentral:rRNA from 1 species